rnacentral:lncRNA from 1 species
AUCAACUUACUUUCAAUUAAUGAAGGAUAUAAAUGUGCAUGGGUCAUUGGAAUAGGAUCAAAACUGACCCUUUUCCUAUCAUAACUCGUGCUGGUUUAAUUGUUCUUUUGAGGCUGGUAGGCCUGCUGUUGAGGACGGUGUUGUUGUUGCUGAUACUGUUGAUGUUGUUAUUGCUGGUUCUGAUGCUGAUAAUGUUGGUUUUCUCUGAAAGAAGGUGCUAUAUGAGCCACCUGGUGCUGGUUACUGGCGGGACGCACAGUCUUCCUCUU